GUGCCCGUAGUUCAGUUGGUUAGAACGCCAGGUUGUGAUUCUGGAGGUCGAGGGUUCGAGACCCUUCGGGCACCCCA
rnacentral:tRNA from 1 species